GUUAUAACCGGCGAUUUCCGAAUGGGGAAACCCAGUGUGUUUCGACACACUAUCAUUAACUGAAUCCAUAGGUUAAUGAGGCGAACCGGGGGAACUGAAACAUCUAAGUACCCCGAGGAAAAGAAAUCAACCGAGAUUCCCCCAGUAGCGGCGAGCGAACGGGGAGGAGCCCAGAGCCUGAAUCAGUGUGUGUGUUAGUGGAAGCGUCUGGAAAGGCGCGCGAUACAGGGUGACAGCCCCGUACACAAAAAUGCACAUGCUGUGAGCUCGAUGAGUAGGGCGGGACACGUGGUAUCCUGUCUGAAUAUGGGGGGACCAUCCUCCAAGGCUAAAUACUCCUGACUGACCGAUAGUGAACCAGUACCGUGAGGGAAAGGCGAAAAGAACCCCGGCGAGGGGAGUGAAAAAGAACCUGAAACCGUGUACGUACAAGCAGUGGGAGCACGCUUAGGCGUGUGACUGCGUACCUUUUGUAUAAUGGGUCAGCGACUUAUAUUCUGUAGCAAGGUUAACCGAAUAGGGGAGCCGAAGGGAAACCGAGUCUUAACUGGGCGUUAAGUUGCAGGGUAUAGACCCGAAACCCGGUGAUCUAGCCAUGGGCAGGUUGAAGGUUGGGUAACACUAACUGGAGGACCGAACCGACUAAUGUUGAAAAAUUAGCGGAUGACUUGUGGCUGGGGGUGAAAGGCCAAUCAAACCGGGAGAUAGCUGGUUCUCCCCGAAAGCUAUUUAGGUAGCGCCUCGUGAAUUCAUCUCCGGGGGUAGAGCACUGUUUCGGCAAGGGGGUCAUCCCGACUUACCAACCCGAUGCAAACUGCGAAUACCGGAGAAUGUUAUCACGGGAGACACACGGCGGGUGCUAACGUCCGUCGUGAAGAGGGAAACAACCCAGACCGCCAGCUAAGGUCCCAAAGUCAUGGUUAAGUGGGAAACGAUGUGGGAAGGCCCAGACAGCCAGGAUGUUGGCUUAGAAGCAGCCAUCAUUUAAAGAAAGCGUAAUAGCUCACUGGUCGAGUCGGCCUGCGCGGAAGAUGUAACGGGGCUAAACCAUGCACCGAAGCUGCGGCAGCGACGCUUAUGCGUUGUUGGGUAGGGGAGCGUUCUGUAAGCCUGUGAAGGUGUGCUGUGAGGCAUGCUGGAGGUAUCAGAAGUGCGAAUGCUGACAUAAGUAACGAUAAAGCGGGUGAAAAGCCCGCUCGCCGGAAGACCAAGGGUUCCUGUCCAACGUUAAUCGGGGCAGGGUGAGUCGACCCCUAAGGCGAGGCCGAAAGGCGUAGUCGAUGGGAAACAGGUUAAUAUUCCUGUACUUGGUGUUACUGCGAAGGGGGGACGGAGAAGGCUAUGUUGGCCGGGCGACGGUUGUCCCGGUUUAAGCGUGUAGGCUGGUUUUCCAGGCAAAUCCGGAAAAUCAAGGCUGAGGCGUGAUGACGAGGCACUACGGUGCUGAAGCAACAAAUGCCCUGCUUCCAGGAAAAGCCUCUAAGCAUCAGGUAACAUCAAAUCGUACCCCAAACCGACACAGGUGGUCAGGUAGAGAAUACCAAGGCGCUUGAGAGAACUCGGGUGAAGGAACUAGGCAAAAUGGUGCCGUAACUUCGGGAGAAGGCACGCUGAUAUGUAGGUGAAGCGACUUGCUCGUGGAGCUGAAAUCAGUCGAAGAUACCAGCUGGCUGCAACUGUUUAUUAAAAACACAGCACUGUGCAAACACGAAAGUGGACGUAUACGGUGUGACGCCUGCCCGGUGCCGGAAGGUUAAUUGAUGGGGUCAGCGCAAGCGAAGCUCUUGAUCGAAGCCCCGGUAAACGGCGGCCGUAACUAUAACGGUCCUAAGGUAGCGAAAUUCCUUGUCGGGUAAGUUCCGACCUGCACGAAUGGCGUAAUGAUGGCCAGGCUGUCUCCACCCGAGACUCAGUGAAAUUGAACUCGCUGUGAAGAUGCAGUGUACCCGCGGCAAGACGGAAAGACCCCGUGAACCUUUACUAUAGCUUGACACUGAACAUUGAGCCUUGAUGUGUAGGAUAGGUGGGAGGCUUAGAAGUGUGGACGCCAGUCUGCAUGGAGCCGACCUUGAAAUACCACCCUUUAAUGUUUGAUGUUCUAACGUUGACCCGUAAUCCGGGUUGCGGACAGUGUCUGGUGGGUAGUUUGACUGGGGCGGUCUCCUCCUAAAGAGUAACGGAGGAGCACGAAGGUUGGCUAAUCCUGGUCGGACAUCAGGAGGUUAGUGCAAUGGCAUAAGCCAGCUUGACUGCGAGCGUGACGGCGCGAGCAGGUGCGAAAGCAGGUCAUAGUGAUCCGGUGGUUCUGAAUGGAAGGGCCAUCGCUCAACGGAUAAAAGGUACUCCGGGGAUAACAGGCUGAUACCGCCCAAGAGUUCAUAUCGACGGCGGUGUUUGGCACCUCGAUGUCGGCUCAUCACAUCCUGGGGCUGAAGUAGGUCCCAAGGGUAUGGCUGUUCGCCAUUUAAAGUGGUACGCGAGCUGGGUUUAGAACGUCGUGAGACAGUUCGGUCCCUAUCUGCCGUGGGCGCUGGAGAACUGAGGGGGGCUGCUCCUAGUACGAGAGGACCGGAGUGGACGCAUCACUGGUGUUCGGGUUGUCAUGCCAAUGGCACUGCCCGGUAGCUAAAUGCGGAAGAGAUAAGUGCUGAAAGCAUCUAAGCACGAAACUUGCCCCGAGAUGAGUUCUCCCUGACCCUUUAAGGGUCCUGAAGGAACGUUGAAGACGACGACGUUGAUAGGCCGGGUGUGUAAGCGCA
rnacentral:rRNA from 1 species